UACGUAGGGUGCAAGCGUUGUCCGGAAUUAUUGGGCGUAAAGAGCUCGUAGGCGGUCUGUCGCGUCGGCUGUGAAAACUCGGGGGCUCAACCCCCGAGCCUGCAGUCGAUACGGGCAGACUAGAGUGCUGUAGGGGGAGACUGGAAUUCCUGGUGUAGCGGUGAAAUGCGCAGAUAUCAGGAGGAACACCGGUGGCGAAGGCGGGUCUCUGGGCAGUAACUGACGCUGAGGAGCGAAAGCGUGGGGAGCGAACAGG
rnacentral:rRNA from 1 species